rnacentral:rRNA from 1 species
CAGUAGCCACGGUAAUACGUAGGUGGCAAGCGUUGUCCGGAAUUAUUGAGCGUAAAGGGCUCGCAGGCGGUUUCUUAAGUCUGAUGUGAAAGCCCCCGGCUCAACCGGGGAGGGUCAUUGGAAACUGGGAAACUUGAGUGCAGAAGAGGAGAGUGGAAUUCCACGUGUAGCGGUGAAAUGCGUAGAGAUGUGGAGGAACACCAGUGGCGAAGGCGACUCUCUGGUCUGUAACUGACGCUGAGGAGCGAAAGCGUGGGGAGCGAACAGGAUUAGAUACCCGAGUAGUCCCUGUCUCUUAUAC